ACUCUGGUUGAUCCUGCCAGUAGUCAUAUGCUUGUCUCAAAGCUUAAGCCAUGCAAGUCUCAGUACAAACUGUAUUAAAGUGAAACCGCAAAAGGCUCAGUAAACCAGUCAUGAUUCACUCGAGUAUACAUGACUGUCUUUGGAUAACUGUGGUAAUCCUAGAGCUAAUACAUGCAAUCAAGUCCCGACCAGUCUGACUGGGAAGGACGCUUUUAUUAGAUCAAGACCAAUCGCCCGGCUCGUCCGGGCGUUGCCUUGGUGACUCUAGGUAACACAUCAGAUCGCACGGUCCUCGCACCGGCGACUUAUCCUUCAAAUGCCUGACUUAUCAACUGUCGAUGGUAGACUCCAUGUCUACCAUGGUUGUAACGGGUAACGGGGAAUCAGGGUUCGAUUCCGGAGAGGGAGCCUGAGAAACGGCUACCACAUCCAAGGAAGGCAGCAGGCACGCAAAUUACCCACUCCCGGCACGGGGAGGUAGUGACAAAAAAUAACGAUACGGGACUCUUAUGAGGCCCCGUAAUCGGAAUGAGUACACUUUAAAUCCUUUAACAAGGAUCCAUUGAAGGGCAAGUCUGGUGCCAGCAGCCGCGGUAAUUCCAGCUUCAAUAGCGUAUAUUAAAGUUGUUGCGGUUAAAAAGCUCGUAGUUGGUUCUGCGUGCCACGCUGUCGGUUCGCCGCCUGCCGGUGUAACUGGCAUGCCGUGGCAUGUCCUGUCGGUGGCGUUCGGGAGCCUCGUCUAGGUGACGGCCCUUGCCACAAGCUUGGUGUCCGGAGGCCGGGGGUAUACUCGUUCGCCUACUCUAUCCUACCUAGGUGCUCUUCACCGAGUGUCGAGGUAGGCCGACACGUUUACUUUGAACAAAUUAGAGUGCUCAAAGCAGGCUGAAAUCUCUGCCUGAAUAGUGGUGCAUGGAAUAAUAAAACAGGACCUUGGUUCUAUUUUGUUGGUUCUUAGGAACACAAGGUAAUGAUCAAUACGGACAGGCGGGGGCAUUCGUAUUGCGACGUUAGAGGUGAAAUUCUUGGAUCGUCGCAAGACGCACAAGAGCGAAAGCAUUUGCCAAGUAUGUCUUGAUUGAUCAAGAACGAAAGUUAGAGGUUCGAAGGCGAUCAGAUACCGCCCUAGUUCUAACCAUAAACGAUGCCAGCCAGCGAUCCGCCGAUGUUCCUCCGAUGACUCGGCGGGGAGCUUCUUCCCGGGAAACCAAAGCUUUUGGGUUCCGGGGGAAGUAUGGUUGCAAAGCUGAAACUUAAAGGAAUUGACGGAAGGGCACCACCAGGAGUGGAGCCUGCGGCUUAAUUUGACUCAACACGGGAAACCUCACCAGGCCAGGACAUUGGAAGGAUUGACAGAUUGAUAGCUCUUUCUUGAUUCAGUGGGUAGUGGUGCAUGGCCGUUCUUAGUUGGUGGAUCGAUUUGUCUGGUUAAUUCCGAUAACGAACGAGACUCUAGCCUAUUAACUAGGCGUUUACCGGUGUCCCCGCCACCGGCGACAAUCAUUCUUCUUAAGGGGACAGGCGGCUUAUAGCCGCACGAGAUUGAGCAAUAACAGGUCUGUGAUGCCCUUAGAUGUCCUGGGCCGCACGCGCGCUACACUGAAGGAAUCAGCGUGUGCCUCCCUGGCCGAAAGGCCCGGGUAAUCCGCUGAACCUCCUGCGUGCUAGGAAUUGGGGCUUGCAAUUGUUCCCCAUGAACGAGGAAUUCCCAGUAAGCGCGAGUCAUAAGCUCGCGUUGAUUACGUCCCUGCCCUUUGUACACACCGCCCGUCGCUACUACCGAUUGAAUGAUUUAGUGAGGUCUUCGGACUGGCGGUAAUCCCUACCGACUUGUCGGUAUCGAUGAACGCUGGAAAGAUGACCAAACUUGAUCAUUUAGAGGAAGUAAAAGUCGUAACAAGGUUUCCGUAGGUGAACCUGCGGAAGGAUCAUUA